UUAGCCUAUUUAGUCAUCUUAGAAUCUCUUUUUCAGUUUGCUGAAAAGAUCUUGCGAAAAGAGUCAAUAGACUUUCCGUCUACAAAAAAAAGCCAUAAACACACACAGGCUGCAAAUUGCCACCACUCCUCUCCUAGAGACAGAUGACUUGACAAACAUCUGUCAUUUCUGCGGGGAAGAAGAGCAUGCAACUGACAACAAAUGGAUUCAGUGUGAGAUGUGUUUGCGGUGGUUCCACCAGCUCUGCGUGAAAAGCCCACCACCAGAAGAUGUGUUUAUUUUUUUCGCUUGUACAUAGUUGACACUAAAGGUCCACAGCUAGUGUUCUUAUGGCACACAUUGUUGAGAAAGUGUCGGAUUGGCAACAGCUUCAAGAAGGCUGAUUUCUUUUUUGUCUUUAUUUUGAUAAGUUUAUUUGCCACAUAAUGCUUUGGACACGUCAGAUCUGUGUUGAGAGGACUCAGAAGUACAACACAAAAGCAAAGCUUUUAAAGCCGAAAAAGGGCCUU